rnacentral:rRNA from 1 species
AGCUCCAAUAGCGUAUAUUAAAGUUGCUGCAGUUAAAACGCUCGUAGUUGCAUUUCCGAGGCAAGGGAUUAGUCCGACCUUUGGUGGGUAUUUAAUCCUCUUGCCUCGUCCUUGAGUGGUGCUUCUUGGUAUUAAGUUAUCGAGGAGAUAGCCGCUCAUCGUUUACUGUGAGAAAAUUAGAGUGUUCAAAGCAGGCUUAUGCCGUUGAAUAUAUUAGCAUGGAAUAAUAAGAUAGGACCUCGGUACUAUUUUGUUGGUUUGAGAACCAAGGUAAUGAUGAAUAGGGACAGUUGGGGGUAUUCGUAUUCAGUUGUCAGAGGUGAAAUUCUUAGAUUUACGGAAGACGAACUACUGCGAAAGCAUUUACCAAGGAUGUUUGCA